rnacentral:rRNA from 1 species
AGAGUUUGAUCCUGGCCCUAAAAGAACGCUGGCGGCAUGCCUUACACAUGCAAGUCGCUCGGCAGCACGGACUUCGGUCUGGUGGCGAGUGGCGAACGGGUGAGUAAUGUAUCGGAACGUACCUUUCAGUGGGGGAUAACGUAGCGAAAGUUACGCUAAUACCGCAUAUUCUGUGAGCAGGAAAGCAGGGGAUCGCAAGACCUUGCGCUGAUUGAGCGGCCGAUAUCAGAUUAGCUAGUUGGUGGGGUAAAGGCCUNACCAAGGCUACGAUCUGUAGCGGGUCUGAGAGGAUGAUCCGCCACACUGGAACUGAGACACGGUCCAGACUCCUACGGGAGGCAGCAGUGGGGAAUUUUGGACAAUGGGGGCAACCCUGAUCCAGCCAUGCCGCGUGAGUGAAGAAGGCCUUCGGGUUGUAAAGCUCUUUCGGCCGGGAAGAAAUCGCAUAGGUUAAUACCCUGUGUGGAUGACGGUACCCGAAUAAGAAGCACCGGCUAACUACGUGCCAGCAGCCGCGGUAAUACGUAGGGUGCGAGCGUUAAUCGGAAUUACUGGGCGUAAAGCGUGCGCAGGCGGUUUCGUAAGACAGAGGUGAAAUCCCCGGGCUCAACCUGGGAACUGCCUUUGUGACUGCGAAGCUAGAGUACGGCAGAGGGGGGUGGAAUUCCACGUGUAGCAGUGAAAUGCGUAGAGAUGUGGAGGAACACCGAUGGCGAAGGCAGCCCCCUGGGCCGAUACUGACGCUCAUGCACGAAAGCGUGGGUAGCAAACAGGAUUAGAUACCCUGGUAGUCCACGCCCUAAACGAUGUCAACUAGGUGUUGGGUGGGUAAAACCAUUUAGUACCGUAGCUAACGCGUGAAGUUGACCGCCUGGGGAGUACGGCCGCAAGGUUAAAACUCAAAGGAAUUGACGGGGACCCGCACAAGCGGUGGAUGAUGUGGAUUAAUUCGAUGCAACGCGAAAAACCUUACCUACCCUUGACAUGUUCAGAAUCCCGGAGAGAUUUGGGAGUGCCCGAAAGGGAGCUGGAACACAGGUGCUGCAUGGCUGUCGUCAGCUCGUGUCGUGAGAUGUUGGGUUAAGUCCCGCAACGAGCGCAACCCUUGUCGUUAAUUGCCAUCAUUUAGUUGGGCACUUUAACGAGACUGCCGGUGACAAACCGGAGGAAGGUGGGGAUGACGUCAAGUCCUCAUGGCCCUUAUGGGUAGGGCUUCACACGUCAUACAAUGGUCGGUACAGAGGGUUGCCAAGCCGCGAGGUGGAGCCAAUCCCAGAAAGCCGAUCGUAGUCCGGAUUGCAGGCUGCAACUCGCCUGCAUGAAGUCGGAAUCGCUAGUAAUCGCGGAUCAGCAUGUCGCGGUGAAUACGUUCCCGGGUCUUGUACACACCGCCCGUCACACCAUGGGAGCGGGUUCCGCCAGAAGUAGGUAGCCUAACCGCAAGGGGGGCGCUUACCACGGCGGGGUUCGUGACUGGGGUGAAGUCGUAACAAGGUAACCGUA